CGCGUUUCACAUGUCUCCGGAUGUUUUCCCCAUCGAAUGUGAACUUUUCCUCUAUGAAAACUCGGAGUGCAUUCUCGAAUGGAUGCAUGAAAGAUGCGUUCUAAUGUAAUUACUGAACUUUUAAAUUCUCUUCAGCUUUGCCGAUGAGAGAUGGACCCUGGGAUCAUGACCCGAGCUGAAGGCACAUGCUUCACCGACUGAGCCACCCAGGCGCUCCGGGACUCAGAUAUUCAGAUGGUACAAGGGGACAUUGAGGGCACACCAGACCCUGGGCCUUGGGGGUCCUACCAGUUUAGCUGACGUUCAGCCUCCAGGGAUCCCGCCAUCCCC